CCUCACACCCUUUUAGGUCGGCAGUUUUGCUGUUGUGGGAGGAGCAUCAGUUGAGAAUGCUGGGCUGUACUCUGACCAGUGAGCUAGCCUCUCAGAUGAACUGGGCAGUAGGUCACUGAAAGAUAAGCCUGAACAAAAAACUCCAUUUAGAGGCACCAGGUGUGCAUGUUUGGGACUUCAUGUCAGGAUUGAAGACAGGAAGCAAAAAUGCAAGUAACGGUUUAUUACAGGAAUGCAAAUGAGAAAUGCUUCAGCUGAGGGUGGGUGGCGCAGGGACCUCGAUGACAGCACAGGAUGGGUGAGAUGGUGAAUUGAGUGCACUGGUGAAGGAUGAUGAAAGGUCCAGCUGAUGACGACAUAAUCCACAGUGAAACACAGCACUGGAAUGAACCCACGAGAAUGAACGCAGAACAGGAGGAAUACAGACAUGCAGCACGGAGUACCUCAAACAACGAUCUGACAAACAAGUGACAAAAGACAGGGCAUUAAGUAGGCUGUUGGAAUUAGAUGCAGCUGCCGCUGAUCACUGAUGAUCAGCGGUAACGCCCACAUCAAACAAUCAGCGUGACGUAACAUGAGACGAGCAGGAAACAAUGCAUUCAUGAACCGUGACACUUCAUUCCUUAUAGCUCAACUAAUUUAAACAGCAAUUAAUCACUUUAUUUUAUUAUUAUUAUAAUAUAAUGAUAAUGAUAAUUACAUAUCUUGUGUUGACCUAGGGCUUCAUUCCUUAUAGCUCAUCUAAUAUAAGACAAACAUUAAUGAAUCACUGUAUUUAAAUAGUAAUAAUAAUAAUAAUAAUAAAAAUAACAAUUAUUAUUAUUAUUAUAUAAUGAUAAUGAAAUAUCUCGUGUUGAUCCAGAGACAUCAUAUUCUUAUGUUGACCCAGGGACUUCAUUCCUUAUAGCUCAUCUAAUAUAAGACAAACAGUAAUUAAUCACUCUAUGUAAAUAAUAAUAAUUAUUAUUAUUAUUUUUUUUUUAUAUAUAAUUAUAAUGAAAUAUCUUGUGUUGAUCCAGGGACAUCAUAUUCUUAUGUUGACCCAGGGAUUUCAUUCCUUAUUGCUCAUCUAAUAUAAGACAAACACUGAUCAAUCGUUGUAUUUAAAUACUAAUUAUAACUAAUAAUAAUAAUAAUAAUUGCAUUUAUUUUGUUGACCCACGGGCCAUCAUUCCUUAAUGUGCAUUCAAUAAGUUGAAGUUUUCUCUCAUUUUACGAUCAUCACUGGAUGAAACCAAUUUAAAUUUCUUAAUGUUAACAUUAAUUUUUUUCUUUGCACAGAUAGCGUUCAUCUAUGGAGAUAGAUAAAGGGUAAAUAAAAAAUAAAAUUAAAAUAUUGACUGUAUAUAAACCAGAAAUCUGACUUAUUGUAACAUUUGUACAAAAAAUAUAUUUUUGUAUUUUUUUCCUUUGAGAUCAUUUGGUGUGCUUUUAUUGACAAAAGAGUCACUUGCAACAUUAGACAAUGAUAUGUGGCUGAAUUACAUUGUCAUGGACAUUGUAUUGAGGUAAUUCUUUUGAAGAAUCAUAAAACUGCAAAUCAUAAUAUUCUUAGCAAUAAUUUUCUACUAAAUCUUUCUAGGUCUGGUCAAUUUUGAACUAGGACGUCAUAGAGGCGGAAAUCUUUGAUCUACCCAGUGCAUUUUUACACUAAAUUGAAAAACAGGUAGGAGUUACUGAUAUUGUAAGAAAGAUCAUUAAAUUCAUAAAAAGGGAUCAUUAAAUUAAUUUGAAUUACACUGCGAGUUUCUCUUUAUAUGUUUGUAAAUGAUCAUGCUACAGUAUCUAGCGUUGCAUGGGCUUUGAAGAAGCCAUGUACUGUCAUAGUUAUAUACUUAAUCAUAUUAUUGAAAAAUUACUGUAACCAUAUGAUUUGUCAUGUCAUCUAUGCAAUUGUAGUGGAUUUUCAGGUGUCGUCAACUGGACAAAACAUGAGGACAUUUUUCGAAAGGACUAUCUUUUGAUAGUCGAGAAUCCUCUUGGUUACUUAACAGAAAUGUGGAAAAACACAAGAAAAACAACCUGGAUAUUUUCUGCAGAUUCUAUGCCAGCCCUGAAAUUGAGGGUACCCGAACAUCAAGGAAACAUCAGGGACAAAAUGCAAAGUUGUUUAGAAGGUGUAUUCUUUUUUAUUUUUUUAAUGAACAUUACAGAAUCCUUAUAAAUUAAUUCAGUUAAAAUUGUGUGCCACUAUUUUCUUAAAUUUUAGGAAGUUAUUUUAAAUACAGCAUAGGGUGCACAAGCAUAACUUUUGAUAUGGCAGAUGAUAUGUAUUUAACUUGUGCUACAUUAAUCUUGUAAUACUGGUUAUUGACUGUGGGCCCUAUCAUACACCCGGCGCAAUGCAACGCAAGGUGCAGCGCGAGUGUGUUUGCUAGUUUCAGUCCGGCACCGUUCGCAUUUUCCCAUCCAGCGCCACGU